rnacentral:rRNA from 1 species
UACGUAGGGUGCAAGCGUUAAUCGGAAUUACUGGGCGUAAAGCGUGCGCAGGCGGUUGUGCAAGACAGAUGUGAAAAUCCCCGGGCUCAACCUGGGAAUUGCGAUGGAGACUGCAAGGCUAGAAUCUGGCAGAGGGGGGGUAGAAUUCCACGUGUAGCAGUGAAAUGCGUAGAGAUGUGGAGGAACACCGAUGGCGAAGGCAGCCCCCUGGGUCAAGAUUGACGCUCAUGCACGAAA